rnacentral:lncRNA from 1 species
GUGAUAAUACCAUCCGCAAUAGCAGACGAUCAGCUUUCUUCCAUCUCUUUAAUAAAAUACCUAAAAGAUAAAUAAAACACCAACUCAUAUUUAAGCUAACUUAAGAAACAACAAAGAAAUAUUCUAAGAGAAAUUGUACAGGAAGGAACCAAAGCUAGUCUGCUCUGAUGAAGCUUUACUUAGUGAUUAACAGAAACAACAAUUAUUUACAAGCAUAUAACCCGAAACUAAACCUAGAUAGGCAUAACCUGGUUUCUAGAGUCAUUUGUAUGCAGACUCUAGUGUCCCCUAGUGGAGAACUUUCCUUUCCAGAUGUUAGUGAACCUUUGGCUGGAGUUGCUUCAUAUCUACCUGAAUUAGAUGCUUUAACAGAGGAGGGGAAUCUGCAGCUUACAACAAAGUUCAGUCUCAUAAUAGCAGUCGUGUAAGUUAGUUCAGUCCAGGUUUAUGUGUGCCAUUGGGUGGGCCAGGUGGCAUGAAAGAA